UCGGCAAGGGCUGACGUCUUCUUGGACCUUAGGAGAUAAAGGGAAGACAAAUGAGGACCCAGUUUGUCACUCGGCUCGAUGAAUGUGGUGACAGGACGGCGCAAAGAGGGAGAACGAAUGACUUCAUCAGAGGUCCCCACGAGAGAGUGAUGGACUGGCUCUGCGUGCUAAAGACAUAACCACAGGAUAACCAUCUACAAAUCUAAUACCCAUUAACCGUAUCGCGCGCUCAUCUGAAUGCCAAGUGAAAUAUGGAAAUAUGGAUGUUUAAUAAUGUAGGGAGAUGAGCUGAUACCCGGAGCUCGCGCUCCCCUCCCACCGCUGCUCUCCCUGCGAGAGAUGAUAAGAGGGGGAUUACACAGAGGGUGAGGAGGGGGGAGACAGACCCCUCCCCCUCUCCUCCGCAUUCAGUCAGAGGCAGCGAAAGGCGCGGGAGGGGGACGCAGGGUAACAAUCAGAGGAGCACUUUCUAUUUACAGAUUGAAUGUUUAAAUGGAUCCAAUAGUCUAAAGACGCGUUUCCACCAGGACGUUUGCGACGCCCGGCGGCGUCCGUCCAUGUUUCGUUGGCAGCUUUUAUGACCUGCAGACGGAGGGCGGCUGCUGGAGGUCGCAGAGGUCAGGAGCCUGCAGCUUAUUGUUACAGCCUUUACUGCUGUGAAGGGCAGAGGACCAACAGGACACCAACAGCAUCCGCCUCCAAAAGGGACCGUCGAGUGUUUGAUGGUUAUUUAGUUACUUAGAACGCGUUAUUCGCUCAUCGCUCCCUGUAUUUUUAAAUAUGAAGCCUGGAAGCCGACAGCGAUACGCCCCCCUCGUACUGAAGUGAACCCGUAGUCCUCCUGGCUUCACGGUUAUGAACCGGUCUUCAUGGAAGUGGAAGAAGUGGCACUGUGUGUGUGUGUGUGUUUGACCAAUAAACCAACGUCAUCCCCAUAAAUCCCACCCUGAAAGGUCUUCUACCUUUAGAAAGUACUACAACACAACCGGGGCCUUUCUGAGGCGGUAGAAUAUCCCUGGGAGAUAAAUGCAACUUUGCCCCCUUUAAACGCAACAAAGUCCAGAGAGCUUCCUGGUCUCUGCGGGGUGCAGCUGGAGGAAGCACAUGGAGAAUAAAUCCUUCAAACUGAGUCUGAAUGUAACAGAUCCAGAAUGCAGCCAAAGGCCUGCACACAGAUUGAGAUGGAGAAGGUCCAGGUGAGGCAGCGCAUUAAACCACGUUGCUCAGCUUCAGCUCUGCAGUUGUGUCCCCAGCGAAGACGCAGGGGACUCCUUGAAUGGAGGGAAGGUGAUUUAUUGCAUUCCAAUGUCCUCCCACAAGGCCAUCAGAUAGUUGGGGGGCUCCUGCUUGCACAUUAUUCACGCUGGGGAGGCCCGCCACGCUGGCUGCCAUUCGCCGCCCGGCGGGGUGUGUGACCUGCCCCUAUUGCCAUGGCGAUUACUAGAUGACUCCUGCGGGUCACUGUGAUUCAGAUUAGGUCCAUUCAGGGUGGGAUAAAGUGUGUGUGUUUAUGGAGGGGCUACUAGCCCCCUCUGGCCCAAUUAACCCUCUGCUGAGCGCCGGCCCAUUAGCGCAGAGACCUAAUGAGCUCCUAUUCUGGGGAGCGAGCGGUUUAUGGAAGCCGUGUGCGGGGGGGGGGG
ensembl:lncRNA